UAUUCUGGAAGAAAAUGUGUCCAUCAAACUGAAAGCAAAGCCUCAUACAAAUGAGCACUGACACAUUCCUAAUCAAUACUCUGAUAAAGUGAUUGAUCCAUUGAUAAACAGCAUCAUGAGAGGAAUCCAAGUCCCUGUUGGAGUCAGUCAGAGCAUUUCCAUAGAGAGCCACUUUGCAUCAGCAGCACCAUGCUCCAGUGCUCUGGGAGAGUUUAUAGUCCUGAGAGUUGAACACUGGAUGACUGACAGCUGUCCUUCAUGACAACAGAAGACACAGAAAUCCUCCUCAUCAAAAACAUGACUUUGAUCUCCGUCCUCAUCUGGACUCUCCUCUGCUGCUGCUUCACAGAGUCCAGAGGCCAGGUCACAGUGACUCAGCCUGGAGCAGUGAGCUCUGCUCUGGGACGCUCCGUCACCAUCACAUGUAGGACCAGUCAGAAUGUUCAGUUUUGGAGCAACAAACAUCUUUUAGCCUGGUACCAACAGAGAGAUGGAGAAACUCCUAAACUGCUCAUUUACUAUGCUAGCACUCGAGCAUCAGGGAUUCCAGGUCGUUUUACAGGCAGUGGAUCAAACUCUGACUUCACUCUGACCAUCAGUGGAGUCCAGACUGAAGAUGCAGCAGUUUACUACUGUCAGAGUCAACAUCACAUCAACAGUCAGAGUGUGUUCACACAGUGAAAAAGCGUCGUACAAAAACCUCCCUCAGUCAGACUGAACAGAAACUGAACUGACUGCUGCAGCUGGAAGCUACUGCAGAGACUGAUACACUUCACUGAGGACACACACACACACAUACACACACACCUACACACACCAUCAGUCAACAUGUAUUAAAACACGUUCAGUGACAAAUGUAUCUGGUUUGUAAAAUUAUCAAGCGAAGCCAA